UGUGUCCUCAGACCACUAUUAACGAACUUUUAAACUUGGCUUUGUGGUCUUCAAUAACAGUGACAAAAUAGCAGCGAAGGCCAAGGCCCAGGGAAAAUGACUACAGGCCCAGGAACAGGCCAAAUGUAUUGCCAUGGGAUUACAAAACAAAACUCUACAUCUUCAGAAUAACCAAAAGACUCCAUAUAUGAAGGUGGAGAAUAAGAGACCAGGUAGAUCUACCACUGUGGAGAGACUGGACACUCGCAAGAAGACUGCAGUAAGAGAGGUCCCGCUUCCCCUCGGAUGUGCCUCCACUAUAAAGUGGGAAAACACUGGAUGGGAGACUGCCCCUCUUCCAAAGGCCUUGGACGUCGACCAGGAUGUCUUCCAAACUACCUUUGGGUUUCUGUGUCCUCUCCUGGAGGCAAUCUGCCCCUCCCUUAACCACCUUUCAGCCCAGGUCCAUUUGUCUUCAGAGGCGCUUUGUAAAAAAGGUGAGUUAUUUCGUGAAUGCGUCUCCCUGUCACUGUCUCACUGCGG
rnacentral:lncRNA from 1 species